GGCGACGUGGGCGUCGUAUUGCGCAGGGGAAAAGUCCUUUUACGCACAGGGGUUUUCGUUUUUGGCAAGGCGUCUUGCGAACGAGGAGGAGGGAAUUAGGCAGGACUCCACGCGGAACUGGCAGGAGGAGGCUUCCCUGAGAGGCCGGGGGCCACGACUGCCUGCUGCCUGGGACCCAAACUUGCUGAAGCUAGGAGGGGAGCAACUGGAGAGAGCUUCUUGGUGCCCUUCUCCGCUGAAGGUGCAAAUAUGUGUGAGUAAGCCAUAUUUCUAAGACGCUGCAGGCUGCUUGAUUUUCCAAGUGAAACCCAACCCUGGGCGAGUGCCUGGAACCUCCCUGGGAUCUUCCGCUUGGCAGAGAUUGAAUGUGGCAUGUAACACAUGCUGGCAUCUACUGUUGGGAGGGUGCCUUUGUGGGUGAAGUCAAACCAUCGGAAGGUUACGGCGCCUGCCGUGGCUGUAGAAACCGAUACGGGAGAG